rnacentral:rRNA from 1 species
GACGAACGCUGGCGGCGUGCUUAACACAUGCAAGUCGAACGGAAAGGCCCUGCUUUUGUGGGGUGCUCGAGUGGCGAACGGGUGAGUAACACGUGAGUAACCUGCCCUUGACUUUGGGAUAACUUCAGGAAACUGGGGCUAAUACCGGAUAGGAGCUCCUGCUGCAUGGUGGGCGUUGGAAAGUUUCGGCGGUUGGGGAUGGACUCGCGGCUUAUCAGCUUGUUGGUGGGGUAGUGGCUUACCAAGGCUUUGACGGGUAGCCGGCCUGAGAGGGUGACCGGCCACAUUGGGACUGAGAUACGGCCCAGACUCUUACGGGAGGCAGCAGUGGGGAAUAUUGCACAAUGGGCGGAAGCCUGAUGCAGCAACGCCGCGUGCGGGAUGACGGCCUUCGGGUUGUAAACCGCUUUCGCCUGUGACGAAGCGUGAGUGACGGUAAUGGGUAAAGAAGCACCGGCUAACUACGUG